rnacentral:rRNA from 1 species
UACGUAGGGGGCAAGCGUUGUCCGGAUUUACUGGGCGUAAAGAGCGCGCAGGCGGUCGUUCAAGUCGAGUGUGAAAGCCCCCGGCUCAACUGGGGAGGGUCAUUCGAUACUGAUCGACUCGAAGGCAGGAGAGGGUAGUGGAAUUCCCGGUGUAGUGGUGAAAUGCGUAGAUAUCGGGAGGAACACCAGUGGCGAAGGCGACUACCUGGCCUGUUCUUGACGCUGAGGCGCGAAAGCUAGGGGAGCAAACGGG